GGACCCGCACAAGCGGUGGAGCGUGUUGUUUAAUUCGAAGAUAAGCGAAGAACCUUACCAAGGCUUGACUUCCUGCGAAGGUUUCCGAAAGGAAAUUGUGCCUUUUAGGAGCGCAGUGACAGGUGCUGCAUGGCCGUCGUCAGCUCGUGUCGUGAGAUGUAUGGUUAAGUCCAUUAACGAGCGCAACCCUUAUGAUUAGUUGGAUUUUUCUAAUCAGACUGCCCUGGCAACAGGGAGGAAGGAGGGGAUGAUGUCAGGUCAGUAUUGCCCUUACGUCUUGGGCGACAAACACGCUACAAUGGCCGGUACAAAGGGCAGCCAACUCGCGAGAGGGAGCAAACCCCAUCAAAGCUGGUCUUAGUUCGGAUUGCAGGCUGAAACUCGCCUGCAUGAAGUCGGAAUCGCUAGUAACGGUGGGUCAGCUAUACUACCGUGAAUACGUUCCCGGGUCUU
rnacentral:rRNA from 1 species